GCGGNGNGCCUAUACAUGCAAGUCGAGCGGACAGAUGGGAGCUUGCUCCCUGAAGUCAGCGGCGGACGGGUGAGUAACACGUGGGCAACCUGCCUGUAAGACUGGGAUAACUCCGGGAAACCGGGGCUAAUACCGGAUAAUUCUUUCCCUCACAUGAGGGAAAGCUGAAAGAUGGUUUCGGCUAUCACUUACAGAUGGGCCCGCGGCGCAUUAGCUAGUUGGUGAGGUAACGGCUCACCAAGGCAACGAUGCGUAGCCGACCUGAGAGGGUGAUCGGCCACACUGGGACUGAGACACGGCCCAGACUCCUACGGGAGGCAGCAGUAGGGAAUCUUCCGCAAUGGACGAAAGUCUGACGGAGCAACGCCGCGUGAGUGAUGAAGGUUUUCGGAUCGUAAAACUCUGUUGUUAGGGAAGAACAAGUACCGGAGUAACUGCCGGUACCUUGACGGUACCUAACCAGAAAGCCACGGCUAACUACGUGCCAGCAGCCGCGGUAAUACGUAGGUGGCAAGCGUUGUCCGGAAUUAUUGGGCGUAAAGCGCGCGCAGGCGGUUCCUUAAGUCUGAUGUGAAAGCCCCCCGCUCAACCCGCGANGGCCAUUGGAAA
rnacentral:rRNA from 2 species